UAACCGACGGAACGGAAGGGCGGCUAACGACGGUGAGAUUCAUGACUGGGGUG
rnacentral:rRNA from 1 species